rnacentral:tRNA from 5 species
GCUGGGAUGGCGGAAUUGGCAGACGCGCAGGACUCAGAAUCCUGUGGGGUAACACCUGUGGAGGUUCAACUCCUCUUCCCAGCACCA